AGUUACUUGCAAGUCCUCCUUGAUCAGAUAGUCUCUAAAUACAGGUAAAAGUCCAGUCUUUUGGAGUUGUGGCAGGUGGUAAAGGACUUGUGAUAAAUCUAAGGGUAGCUGGAAAAGCCCUAAAACACAGCUCAGGCUGCCCAGGCUAAUCUAGCUAAGCUGGGCUUCUUUAAACAAAACAGUGAAGUACAAAAAUGAUGCAUGAGGCCUUAAAAAUUUCUAUUUAUUGGCUGCAGAACACCUACAUUGAGCUCUUUCUGACUUUCCCUAUGCUGCAUGAAAAAAACUCAACUCAAAUGUCAUUCAGGUAAACCUACAAAUAAGUCCUUUGUAGGUGAAAUACAAAAAUAGCUUCAAAGAAGGAUGCAUAUAACCUUGUUAAUUUGCCAAAAGUUUUCAAUCUUCAUCACUUCAGAAGCAAGGCUAGACAAGGCUAGACAAAGGCUGAGAAAUGCAGAAGGUGCAGAGGCACACCUUUAUCUCAGGUUCAGAGCCUUAAACCUCAGAAGCAAAAUAAUGCUGGGGAGAAGAGAUUGACAGUGAUGCCUAAUGCUGGAAUCAAGGGUUGGAAGGACUGCCUGUACUAGGCACUCUCAGGAUAAUGAUGCCAGGAAGAUUUAAUUUACCAGUUUGUUCUAGGAAAGGUAAUGACCUUAAUAUCACUGGGAAUGUAUCAAGAGGUCAUCCAUGCAGACACACACUGACUCAUUUUCAUAAUAAAUGGAAAUAGAUGUCCAGCCACACAUAUUUGAUUUCAGGAAAGGAUUUAAACCAUAUAUCCAGCUUUGUGUAUAGUAGCAGAAGAGAUAAUGUUUUAUUGAUAUGUGGGGAUUUAAUUCCAACCUGUUUGAGAAUCUCUAGGGAAAAAACGCACAUCCAAUUCAUUCCUGAAGAAACAAAAAAGAAAAUAAUCCCCCCAAAACCUACCAAAUCAAUAAAGGGAAACAAUAUCACACUGGAAUAGGGAUGUGCCAUUUUCCCCUAAGUACUAUUCAUUGGUUGCUGGGCCAUAGAUGAAGCACCACAUAAUGCCUCUGUUAGAGAAGAGUGCUUACACAUGCAUUAUCAAGGAUAUGCUCUUCCUGGCUGAGCAGCAUAUUUCUGAGAAGGUGAAAAGUGGGUGUCUAAAUGCAACUCCAGCAGCCUCUGCAGAAAUGUGGCUGUGUAGCCCAAACCCUGCUGCUCCAAACCCUGGAGGUCCCAGGUGCUGGGGAGAAAUUUCCUUCACAGAGGGGAAUUGCAUGUGUUCCAUGGCUUUUCCUGUGCCCAUCCAGGAGGGUUGGCACAGCUACUUUGGCUGGAGAAGACAGGAGCAUGGUCACAAGGCAAGAAAAAAUGGAAGAGGAAGUCUGAGGAACUCCAAAUGGAGUCAUCCAAAAUGCCAUCCAAAUGCAGGAUGGCACAGGAGAUGAGAGCUGUUCCUGUGCCACCCAUACAAUGUGCAGCUUAGCUCAAGAUUUCUCAAGCUGGGCUGCAAGCAGUGAGUCACACAGAGAGAGGAGGGUUAUUUCUGGGAUUUUGGUUCUGCAGAGGAAAAACGUGAAACAGCCAGAAAUGACAGAGAAGUGAGAGUGCUGGAUGAUGGCAAACAGCAUAUGGGGAGCAGGGGAGAGGGAGCUUUGGCAUCCUUGCUGCAGUGUUAAAUCCCAGCCUAAUUCACACUGAUCUCCAGGGGCCAGUUCAUUUCUGCUGGAAGAAUCUGGCUCCUGGGACUCCAGGUACAAAAGGAAAAAUUCUCAAUUUCUUGAGUACCAAUGUUAGUUUGCCAAGUGUUUUUGCUUUUCUAUUCCUCCCUGCAAAUCUUUUUUUAAUUUUUUUUUUCUUCUUUUAAGGUCAGUGGAAAAUUUAGACGAACACACAGUUUUCCAGCAGGCUUAGUUUUUGGAAGUUGAACUGAUCAAAUCAUUUAAUACUUGACAAGUGAGGUAUUUGCCCUGUUGUCCUCAAGAAGCCUCUGGAAACUAGAGCAGAAUUUUGGGUGUUGAAGGAGACAAAUUUUAGUAUAGAAGAUGAAGUGGUGAAAAACCAAAGAUGAAGCUAUCAUGAACCUGCCAAGCAAAGUGCAUUACUGUACAUGGAAUGUUUAGCAAUAAACUAGGAUUGUUAGUAUACCUCCAACUCACAAAUACUUUUAUUUGUUCUGUGUUUCUCCUACUCUGAAUUUUGCUGCCAGCUAUAUCCCAUGUAGUUUUAUACUUUGCAGCACAGAUUUCCCCCUGCUCAGCAGAUGAAGCUGCAUUAGAAAGCCAUUUCCUUUCAUGCCAAUACAAUGCAGUAGCUGUAGGCAAAUUAAAGUGUAUUACUGCUAGACUGGGAGAAGACCAAUCUUCAUUGUUACAUUAGCACUAAGUAUGUUAUAAAUCCAUCUUGUAAUAAUGCCACAG